GUAGGUGAACCUGCGGAAGGAUCAUUACACAAAAGGCCACGGUGGGAAGCUUUCCGCAAGGACAGCGAGCAGAUGUCCGGUUCUGCUGGCUGGUAGCGUCUUUGACGCUGAUCGAGCUUCCCCCUGAACCCCACCCUUGCUUUUUGCGCACCCAUUGUUUCCUCGGCAGGCGUGCCUGCCAGUAGGACCUUUUUUAACCCUUUGUCAUUGCAGUCCGCGUCAGAAAACAACGUAAUCGUUACAACUUUCA
rnacentral:misc_RNA from 1 species